rnacentral:rRNA from 1 species
CGGCGGACGGGUGAGUAACGCGUGGGUAACCUGCCUCACACUGGGGGACAACAGUUAGAAAUGACUGCUAAUACCGCAUAAGCGCACAGGACCGCAUGGUCUAGUGUGAAAAACUCCGGUGGUGUGAGAUGGACCCGCGUUUGAUUAGCUAGUUGGUGGGGUAACGGCCUACCAAGGCGACGAUCAAUAGCCGACCUGAGAGGGUGACCGGCCACAUUGGGACUGAGACACGGCCCAA